rnacentral:rRNA from 1 species
CGGAGCACGCCGCGUGAGUGAUGAAGGCUUUCGGGUCGUAAAACUCUGUUGUUAGGGAAGAACAAGUGCUAGUUGAAUAAGCUGGCACCUUGACGGUACCUAACCAGAAAGCCACGGCUAACUACGUGCCAGCAGCCGCGGUAAUACGUAGGUGGCAAGCGUUAUCCGGAAUUAUUGGGCGUAAAGCGCGCGCAGGUGGUUUCUUAAGUCUGAUGUGAAAGCCCACGGCUCAACCGUGGAGGGUCAUUGGAAACUGGGAGACUUGAGUGCAGAAGAGGAAAGUGGAAUUCCAUGUGUAGCGGUGAAAUGCGUAGAGAUAUGGAGGAACACCAGUGGCGAAGGCGACUUUCUGGUCUGUAACUGACACUGAGGCGCGAAAGCGUGGGGAGCAAACAGGAUUAGAUACCCUGGUAGUCCACGCCGUAAACGAUGAGUGCUAAGUGUUAGAGGGUUUCCGCCCUUUAGUGCUGAAGUUAACGCAUUAAGCACUCCGCCUGGGGAGUACGGCCGCAAGGCUGAAACUCAAWGAAUUUUGACGGAA